rnacentral:rRNA from 1 species
UACGGAGGGCGCAAGCGUUAAUCGGAAUCACUGGGCGUAAAGCGUGCGUAGGCUGUUUGAUAAGUCAGGCGUGAAAUCCCUCGGCUCAACCGGGGAACUGCGUUUGAUACUGUUGAACUAGAGUCCUGGAGAGGGUGGCGGAAUUCCUGGUGUAGGAGUGAAAUCCGUAGAUAUCAGGAGGAACACCGGUGGCGAAGGCGGCCACCUGGACAGGUACUGACGCUGAGGUACGAAAGCGUGGGGAGCAAACAGG